UCUAAGAUGGCAGAUGAAUUGCAUUGAUUUUAAGAGUCAAACAUAGGGUUUAUCCCUUCUUAGAG
rnacentral:tRNA from 1 species